UCUCACUCUCUCUCUCUCUCUAUCUCUCUCUAUCUCUCUCUCUCUCUACUCUUCAGUUGCCGCCGCCACCAUACGCCGUCGCACUCUUCCUCCGUCCGUCGUCUGGUGCUCUCUCUUUCUGAACAUGUAUUGUGGUACGCCUUCUAUACCACGUGGCCAUGGUUGUGGCCGCGGCCAUGCCCCGUCACUUCCAACAACGCCAUGUGAUGCUUCUUAGGUUGGGAAAACAAUUUCUCAACCACCCGCAACACCUAACACGGUCGGACCAUCAUCAGCCCCGCUAACUCCAAACGAUGUUGGACCAUCUAGAGAUGCACCGACAAUUGAGGAGGCCAUACAGUAGUUUGCCACUCCAGCAGAUGCUCCACCACCACCACCAGCAGUCCCCCCACCACCAACUCGCUAGUACAUCAGCGUCAACGACGGAAGGUCUGACAGCUGCUUCUACGAGCGCAUCAAUGAGGUGGUGCGGGGACACUUUCCUUACCUGUAGCCAUGUCUGAGGCAGGUGCCGUCAGAACACCAACA